rnacentral:rRNA from 1 species
UACGGAGGGGGCUAGCGUUGUUCGGAAUUACUGGGCGUAAAGCGCACGUAGGCGGCUUUGUAAGUUAGAGGUGAAAGCCCAGGGCUUAACCCUGGAAUUGCCUUUAAGACUGCAUCGCUAGAAUCGUGGAGAGGUAAGUGGAAUUCCGAGUGUAGAGGUGAAAUUCGUAGAUAUUCGGAAGAACACCCGUGGCUAAGGCGGCUCUCUAGUACGGUACUGACGCUGAGACGCGAAAGCGUGGGGAGCGAACAGG